rnacentral:rRNA from 1 species
AUGAACGCUGGCGGCGUGCCUAAUACAUGCAAGUCGAGCGAACAGAUGAGGAGCUUGCUCCUCUGACGUUAGCGGCGGAUGGGUGAGUAACACGUGGAUAACCUACCUAUAAGACUGGGAUAACUUCGGGAAACCGGAGCUAAUACCGGAUAAUAUAUUGAACCGCAUGGUUCAAUAGUGAAAGACGGUUUUGCUGUCACUUAUAGAUGGAUCCGCGCCGCAUUAGCUAGUUGGUAAGGUAACGGCUUACCAAGGCAACGAUGCGUAGCCGACCUGAGAGGGUGAUCGGCCACACUGGAACUGAGACACGGUCCAGACUCCUACGGGAGGCAGCAGUAGGGAAUCUUCCGCAAUGGGCGAAAGCCUGACAGAGCAACGCCGCGUGAGUGAUGAAGGUCUUCGGAUCGUAAAACUCUGUUAUUAGGGAAGAACAAAUGUGUAAGUAACUAUGCACGUCUUGACGGUACCUAAUCAGAAAGCCACGGCUAACUACGUG